AGAAUUGCUGAGAGGGCCAGCUGGACAGAAGCAGAGUUCAGAUUUUACACAAGUCAGAGGCACUCUUUGGGGUUCAUCUCUGAAGCUAUUUUGCUGGAGAAGAUCAGUGCUUUUCAAGCUAUAAUAAUGUAGACUUUGAAACUGCAUGAGGUGAAAUGAGGUUUUUCACUGAAAAAAAGAUACACGUUCUCAACCAUAGAAAAAUGCUAAGCAUCUACUAAGUGUCCAGCAUGGUGUUACAAACUGUGGAUAUGGAUGGCAACAGGUGUAUCUCUGGCCUUUGGCAGAAUAUGGGGUGGUGGAGGGGAGACCAAAUCACCCCAAGAGUCCUAGAGGCACUUGGUAACAUGGAAUGCAAAGUAAGGCCUACCCGUGAGUCUUAGAGGAAAAAUUCUUGUGAUAUGCCACACCCACAAGUAGGAGGUCCACUCUCACCUCCCAGUAAGCCUAGCAAAUGGGAUUAUUCCCUAGGAAUCAGCCACAGAGGAAGAUCAAUUACCAUCCCUCCAGUCAAGAAGUUUUCCAAGCAUCUUUUUCCUUGGAGCUUUCUAAAAACCACCACCAUCGGCUAUAUGGUCGUAAGAGUUUCCAAACAGAAGUUUCAACGCAAGCUGAGAUUCAUGAUUUUGUGUGACAUAGACACACAGCCUUAGAUUUUACAAUAGGCAUGUGGCCAGGAGACUGGAAGACUAGAUACUUGUGCUGACUCUUCGCUACUUAAUGGAUUUGCCUAUAAACCACAAACGAUUUAAACUGUGUAGUAAGUUUUUCUAUAAUCACAAAUAUGUUUAGAAGAGAAGGAAUGUGGAGGGGUUGCUGGAUAGCUAAAGACAAAAUACAUCAGUGGGGUGAGACUUGAGAUGCUACAUUUAUAAAGGCUUCGCAGGAGAUUCUGACCACAGCCAGAUUGGAAAUCCCUAUCCCUGCUUACUCUCAUACGUCUUUCCAUCAACACCCUUUCUCUGUUUACCCAGUGAGGACCUCGACCACUUUGCAGCUCCUCUGUCCUUGGCAUUGAGCCUCUGUCCUUGGCAUUGAGCCUGCUCCUAUCUUGACCUCCUUAGAGAACCUGUCUCUAGCUAGCCUUAAUCCACCUUGGCGGGGCCCCUUCCCGGUUUGCCUAUUACCUAUCCGAAAAGAAGAUUCUGUUUUUCUGGAAGAAAUCUUAUCAAGAAGUGGAUGUACUAUGCUUACACUCAAUGGUCUAUUUCAAAUGGGGCCAACAACUGCUAAAUUCUACAGAGGAUAUAGGAAUUGCUCCAGCUGGUAUGUGGGAUAUUUGGAACUCAAACCCAGGCCUGUACAAUUCCAAAGCUGGGCUAUUUGCAUUAUGAUUGACAGAUAAAUAUCAAGAUAUCUAUCUAUUCCCAACUGUUAAGGUUAAGAAGGAGCCCCUAUAAAUUCCCCCAGUGGGUAAGCAGGGCGACGUGAAAGAUAUUUAACCACUGCAAUGACAGGAAUUGUGACUGAGCAGAAUGGACACUGGCUGAGAAUAGCUAACUUGUCCUUAGCAUCGUGAGCCCAUUCAGUGUCAGCCCUGCAUAUAAGUAUUUUUGUUUAAACAAGAAAUUAUUAAAUGUGGAUUGGGUGUUGACCCUGCAUAUAAGUACUUUGUCUAAAUAAGAAACUAUAAAAAGUUCAUGUACAUGCAAAAAAAUAUCAUGUGGUAUUAGAACAAUUGAUGGUAUUAAUUUUCCUUUCUUUCAGUCCUUAUUUUUAUUCUGUUAUAAUGUUACAUAAAUCAAUUUUCCGCUUGGCUUUUGAAGUUUCGUGUGUACCUUGGUUGAUUUGAUCAUGUGCCUUGGGAUUCAAGAUCAAAAAAUCAAGGAAGCUAUUUAUCUAAUGAAAUACAAUUUGUCUGUUCCUA
rnacentral:lncRNA from 1 species